CAGUGAUAAACUGGAGGAAGGUGGGGAUGACGUCAAGUCAUCAUGGCCCUUACGACCAGGGCUACACACGUGCUACAAUGGCGCAUACAAAGAGAAGCGACCUCGCGAGAGCAAGCGGACCUCAUAAAGUGCGUCGUAGUCCGGAUUGGAGUCUGCAACUCGACUCCAUGAAGUCGGAAUCGCUAGUAAUCGUGGAUCAGAAUGCCACGGUGAAUACGUUCCCGGGCCUUGUACACACCGCCCGUCACACCAUGGGAGUGGGUUGCAAAAGAAGUAGGUAGCUUAACCUUCGGGAGGGCGCUUACCACUUUGUGAUUCAUGACUGGGGUGAAGUCGUAACAAGGUAACCGUAGGGGAACCUGCGGUUGGAUCACCUCCUUACCU
rnacentral:rRNA from 4 species